rnacentral:lncRNA from 1 species
GCUGUUCCUUCUUGCUGAACUUCCAAACACUACAGAGACACUUUUACAAGAUGGCAGCCGUACUAGCCGCGAAGCGCGCCAAAUCACUGGUUUUCCUCGAAUAUCAACAUGAUGGCGGAUCAAAUACUUUCUAAUCAACAAGGGAAUAAAAACACUGAAAUUGAAACGAGAAACGAGAACAGAGGAAAAAACUAAAAUAUGCUUCCUCACUGCAUGGCUGAACUUUGAAGACUGAAACAUUCGCCGCCUUACUACGUUACCAAUUGUACCAGAGGAGACGCUGAAGCUUAAAUGUUUGCUUUGAAACAAAUGACUCGUAUCGAUGGCAACGAACAUUUUUACAUGUGAAAUGUAAUAUACCUACAUUACACGUAUAUAUAUCUAUAUAUAUCUAUAAAAACAAAAGAGAGAUAAAUAUAUAAAUAAAUAGUUGCA